rnacentral:rRNA from 1 species
AACGAACGCUGGCGGCAUGCCUAACACAUGCAAGUCGAACGAGACCUUCGGGUCUAGUGGCGCACGGGUGCGUAACGCGUGGGAACCUGCCCUUAGGUUCGGAAUAACUCCCCGAAAGGGGUGCUAAUACCGGAUAAUGUCUUCGGACCAAAGAUUUAUCGCCUUUGGAUGGGCCCGCGUUGGAUUAGCUAGUUGGUAGGGUAAAAGCCUACCAAGGCGACGAUCCAUAGCUGGUCUGAGAGGAUGAUCAGCCACACUGGGACUGAGACACGGCCCAGACUCCUACGGGAGGCAGCAGUGGGGAAUAUUGGACAAUGGGCGAAAGCCUGGGCCAGCAAUGCCGCGUGAGUGAUGAAGGCCUUAGGGUUGUAAAGCUCUUUUACCCGGGAUGAUAAUGACAGUACCGGGAGAAUAAGCUCCGGCUAACUCCGUG